rnacentral:rRNA from 2 species
UACGGAGGGAGCUAGCGUUGUUCGGAAUUACUGGGCGUAAAGCGCGCGUAGGCGGCGAAUCAAGUCAGGGGUGAAAUCCCGGGGCUCAACCCCGGAACUGCCCUUGAAACUAGCUCGCUAGAAUCUUGGAGAGGUCAGUGGAAUUCCGAGUGUAGAGGUGAAAUUCGUAGAUAUUCGGAAGAACACCAGUGGCGAAGGCGACUGACUGGACAAGUAUUGACGCUGAGGUGCGAAAGCGUGGGGAGCAAACAGG